UACGAGGGGGGCAAGCGUUGUUCGGAAUUAUUGGGCGUAAAGGGCGCGUAGGCGGUGCGGUAAGUCACCUGUGAAAACUCUGGGCUCAACUCAGAGCCUGCAGGCGAAACUGCCGUGCUUGAGUGUGGGAGAGGUGCGUGGAAUUCCCGGUGUAGCGGUGAAAUGCGCAGAUAUCAGGAGGAACACCGGUGGCGAAGGCGGAUCUCUGGGCCUUACCUGACGCUCAGGCGCGAAAGCUAGGGGAGCGAACUGG
rnacentral:rRNA from 1 species